UGUCUGAAUAUUUCAGUCUAGAUCAGUAACUAAAAUCAUUCUUCGUUUCCUUCUUCCACUCUCAGAUGCUCACUGGAAAUUCUCCUCUUUUACUUACAGUUGGACUUGGAUUAUCAAAAGUGGAGCAGUUCCAGCUGUCCAUUUCCACGGAAAUAAAGAAAAGUAUUGACAUACCUUGCAAGAUAUUGAGCACAAACUUUGAAACAGAUGUCAUUCAUUGGUACUGGCAGAAACCGAAUCAGGCUUUGGAGCACCUGAUCUAUACUGCCUUAAUGAAAUCCUCAGCUGGAGGCAGCAUGGGUGAGAGGAGCAACAAAUUGGAGGCAAGAAAGGAUUCUCAAACUUCCACUUCAAUCCUUACCAUCAAGUCCAUAGAGAAAGAAGACAUGGCUAUUUACUACUGUGCUGCUUGGGAAUACACCAUAUCAGAGCUGUUGAGACAACACGCACAAGAUCCUCUCCCGGGGUCUGCGCCCACCACAUCCUUCCCAACAGGGGCAACCACAGCUGGUCCCCAGCUGGGCUCCCAGACUCAGGCUCGCUUUCUCUGAGGCUCUUCCGGGGCUUUCCAGGAAGCUGUUUCGGGUUGUGCUUACACCUUCGUUCCAGGCUGAUCCCAGGAAUUGUGCUCCAGAAUCUUUAUUUAAUACUAUUUCUUAAUGAGUGUUAAAGACUUGUCUGGGGGCUGAGAGGA